GUGAUUAGCUCAGCUGGGAGAGCACCUCCCUUACAAGGAGGGGGUCGGCGGUUCGAUCCCGUCAUCAC
rnacentral:tRNA from 51 species